rnacentral:rRNA from 1 species
AUUGAACGCUGGCGGCAGGCUUAACACAUGCAAGUCGAGCGGGGGGAAGGUAGCUUGCUACCUAACCUAGCGGCGGACGGGUGAGUAAUGCUUAGGAAUCUGCCUAUUAGUGGGGGACAACAUUUCGAAAGGGAUGCUAAUACCGCAUACGCCCUAAGGGGGAAAGCAGGGGAUCUUCGGACCUUGCGCUAAUAGAUGAGCCUAAGUCGGAGUAGGUAGUUGGUGGGGUAAAGGCCUACCAAGGCGACGAUCUGAAGCGGGUCUGGGAGGAUGAUCCGCAACAAUGGGACUGAGACACGGCCCAGACUCCUACGGGAGGCAGCAGGGGGGAAUAUUGGACAAUGGGGGGAACCCUGAUCCAGCCAUGCCGCGUGUGUGAAGAAGGCCUUUUGGUCGUAAAGCACUUUAAGCGAGGAGGAGGCUACCGAGAUUAAUACUCUUGGAUAGUGGACGUUACUCGCAGAAUAAGCACCGGCUAACUCUGUGCCAGCCGCCGCGGUAAUAC